GGGGUUGUGGCUUAGUGGCAGAGCACUUGCCUAGUAUGUAUGAGGCGCUGGGUUCAAUCCUCAGCACCACA
rnacentral:tRNA from 1 species